rnacentral:tRNA from 4 species
GUUCGCCGGCGGAUGUAGCCAAGUGGAUCAAGGCAGUGGAUUGUGAAUCCACCAUGCGCGGGUUCAAUUCCCGUC